CGUCCCUUCAGGUGACUGUGGAGCUAUGAAGACCUGAGGCAACGGGGAGCCGGUGAAGGUCGCAUUGCAGGAGGAUGGUGAUGAAGCUUUUUAAGGAAACAUGUGCUGGCACUGUGAGUAAUGGACUGUAGCAGAGACCAACCGCGACGCCACUGAAUCAAACCAGGUGAGCAGUAACAACGGCAAAACCACUGGGGGGACGGGGAGAAGGAAAGAGUUUUUAGGUAGGAUUGACAGAAUUUGUAACCACUUGACAUGGGAAAUGAGGGAGUGUAUCUGAUCAUGGUUUGAGAAAUUUAUACUAAAGUUUUAAAAAACUGAUCUUGUCUAAGGAGAGAUGCCAUGAAAAUGUAUUUCAUGUUAUAACCUCA
rnacentral:lncRNA from 1 species